GUUCUCGUAGCUCAGCGGAUUAGAGUGUCAGACUCCGACUCUGAAGGUCAGAGGUUCGAAUCCUCCCGGGAACACCA
rnacentral:tRNA from 1 species